rnacentral:tRNA from 1 species
GGAGUUGUGGCUCAUUGGUAGUGCGUUCACCUAGCACGUGCAAGGCCCUGGGUUCGAUCCUCAGUACCA